AGCAAAACUGUUCUCACCCUGCUAAAUGCACUGAAAACUUGCCAGCUGGGGUAUACACUGGCCUCUUGAGAAAUCGGGGAGUCCAAGACCACAGCUGAGACCCGGAUCUCCUCUCCACCAGCUGCCAGGCUGACGGGAGUCCCGGGGAGUCAGGAGCGAAUUUGUCAGGGGAAAGGCUGCUGCGGGCAGCCUCUGGGCAGCCUGCCAACAGCCCCUUCUGGCAACACUCCAUCUGUCUGAGAGUUGAAGAUCAAGCCUCAGGUGAGCAGGGCCUGAGGAGAAGACAGAGAAGGACGAUGGCACAGUGAUCACCAAGCCCAGGGGAGGUGAACUCAGCAUGGAACACAGAGGUCCAGAGCCACUGGGAAGAUGGGAGGUGAUGGAGGACUGGACAUCGAGAAAGUCAGCACCUGCAUGGAAACCCUGAGAUGGGUGUGUGUGUGUGUCUGUGUAGACAGCCCUGGAGAGGUCUAGGGGGUGCGGAAGAUUAAUGCAAAGACCAGGAGCUCUUACUGUGGGUGAAUAGAGGACUUCCAGGCAUAGAUCUCCAAAGCAGAGAUGAGAACAGUUAACCAUAGAGAGAAAAUGGUUGAGCUGGCAUCUGAACCGCCAACCUCAGCCGACUCGUGUCUGGAAUCUGGGCUCCUAACCACUGUGCCGUCCGGUCACCCUUAUAUGGCUCAGCGCCCUUAGGACUUAAAGAAAAAGGCUACCUGCUAUUAUUACCUCUGCUGUACAGAGGAGGAACUGAGGACUGGAGAGGCUAAAGGAUCUUGCCCCUUAGGUGGCCCGGCUGGCAUCUAAACUCGUCUCCUACUUGAAUGAGGGCCAGGGAGGGAAAGGCUUGGCCUGGCCACCUGCAUCCCCCACUUAAGCUUGAGUCCACUUCGGAAAGUUCAAAGGCAAAAUGACCCCAUGGCUUGAACUGGGAGCUAGAAAGAUGUUCGCACCAUCUUCCACGUCAUCAUUUUAGAUGGCUGCCUAAUAGUCUAUCAAACAAUGUCUCGUAAUUUAUUUCAGCAGUCCCUAUUCGGAGGCAGUUUUUCACUGGUAGAAGUAGCCCUGCAGUGAACAUUCUUGUAAAUUAUCUUUUCCAAUAAUCCAGUGUACAGCCGAGAAGUUUUUAUUCUCCACUAGUUAAUUGUGUGGUGUUCAGAGUAUAGGAGAGAGCCAAGCAGACUCCUGGGGCCUGACAUGAGACCCUGCCCUUGGCCACUUAGAACCCUGGUGCCAUGUGUUCAUAAUUUCCCUUUCUUGUCAGAUAGGCCAGUUCGUCCGCGUCCAGCACUGGGUUCCAUCUAUCUUUCUGCUCUCUGAUGAGCUUCAGCCCAAGAAGAAACCUUUCUGGGGCCGCAAGGUCAGCCACGGCUGCCUCUCCUACUGGCACAUUAUGCAAAAAAUGCUUCUUCAGGGCCUCCACUGGGCCCCUGCUCUCCAGAGAGUGGCGUUUAGAGCCACGUGGAGCCUUCACCCCCCCUGCUGUCUGGAAAUCCUUAUGCAGGCUCCUGGCUUCCUUCGGUUUACCUGUCAGUCCGCGCUUAUCUCUUACUGGGUGGGCAGUUUUUGUGCUGGCAGGAGUCUGACACAGUUCCGCAAAUUGCCCUUUUAUGUUUUUAACUAGAGCCGAGGUUUUUAAUUAGGGGACAUGAAUGUUGGAGGGGGCAGGACACAAACCCCUUGAACUAGUGUGCGAAGUCUAUGUGUGUGCAUCUUUCUAGCAAGAGUUGCUGAUUUUCAUUCCAUUUCCAAAGGGGUCUGGGACCCACCGAAGGGUCCCCACCACGCCUGGAGCAUGUGGGGAGCCUGAGUGGCCGCCAGACCAGACAUUGCACUCUCUGCCCUUUUGAAGACUUUUCUGACCAAGAAUGUCUGCUUCCCCACUCCUUUCUUUCUCUUCCUGCCCCAGCGGACCACUCAUCAGACAGACUUGCUUUUAGAGCUCAGUGAGUGGCGGCUGAUGGCAGCUUGUAGAAGAGACACGUCACCUUAGCUUGGUUGGAUCCCCUGCUUGCUCCCCACCCACGGGCUGAGGUUCAAAUCCUAGCCGCAAAAAAAAAAAAAAAAAAAAAAAAAAGUCACGAAUUACUUCCUGAAGUCAUGGGUUUCUCAUGACCAGUGAAAACUUGAAAUACCAAGAGCUUGCUGUAUCGCUCACCUUCUCUCUUUUUAACUACAUAGUGUAUUUGCUGGCUAGGGCCGCCGUAACAAAGCACCAUACACUGGGGGGCUUACACUGCAGAAAUUUAUUUUGCACAGUUCUGGAGGCUAGAAGUCCAAGAUCAAGGUGUCAGCAGGGUUGCUUUCUUCUGAGGCUUCUCUCUGGGGCUCGUAGACAGCAGUCUUCUCCCUGUGUCCUCACAUGGUCUCCCUCUGUGCAAAUCUGUGUCCUACUCUCCUCUUAUAAGGACACCAGUCAAACUAGAUUAGGCCCCACCCGUGUGAUCUUGUUUUACCUUAAUUACCUCUUUAAUGCAGUCACAUUCUGAACUACUGGGGGUAGGUCUGCAACAGAUGAAUUUUGAGGGAUGCGAUUCCACCCAUAACACGCUAUGUUACAUUUUUAUGAUUAUAAAAGUAAGAUAUGUUCCCCAGAGAAAAUUUGGAAAC
rnacentral:lncRNA from 1 species